rnacentral:snRNA from 1 species
GUGCGCACUUCGGCAGCACAUGGACUAAAACUGGAACGAAACAGAGAAGAUUAACAUGGGGCCUGCGCAAGGAUGAAAU